rnacentral:rRNA from 1 species
CACGUAGUUAGCCGUCCCUUUCUGGUAAGCUACCGUCACAGUGUGAACUUUCCACUCUCACACCCGUUCUUGACUUACAACAGAGCUUUACGAUCCGAAAACCUUCUUCACUCACGCGGCGUUGCUCGGUCAGGGUUGCCCCCAUUGCCGAAGAUUCCCUA